rnacentral:sRNA from 1 species
GCUGGGCGCGGUGGUGCCUGCCUGUCAUCCCACAGGCUCGGGAGGCUGAGGCAGGAGGAUCGUGAGUUCAAAGCCAGCCUCCUCAAAAGCGAGGCCCUGAGCAACUCAGUGAGACCCUGUCUCUA